rnacentral:rRNA from 1 species
ACGCUAGCUACAGGCUUAACACAUGCAAGUCGAGGGGAAACGGCAUUUAGUGCUUGCACUGAAUGGACGUCGACCGGCGCACGGGUGAGUAACGCGUAUCCAACCUACCCAUUACUGUGGGAUAACCUGCCGAAAGGUAGACUAAUACCGCAUAGUCUUCGAUGACGGCAUCAGAUUUGAAGUAAAGAUUUAUCGGUAAUGGAUGGGGAUGCGUCUGAUUAGCUUGUUGGCGGGGUAACGGCCCACCAAGGCGACGAUCAGUAGGGGUUCUGAGAGGAAGGUCCCCCACAUUGGAACUGAGACACGGUCCAAACUCCUACGGGAGGCAGCAGUGAGGAAUAUUGGUCAAUGGGCGCGAGCCUGAACCAGCCAAGUAGCGUGCAGGAUGACGGCCCUAUGGGUUGUAAACUGCUUUUGUAUGGGGAUAAAGUCAAUCACGUGUGAUUGUUUGCAGGUACCAUACGAAUAAGGACCGGCUAAUUCCGUGCCAGCAGCCGCGGUAAUACGGAAGGUCCGGGCGUUAUCCGGAUUUAUUGGGUUUAAAGGGAGCGUAGGCCGGAGAUUAAGUGUGUUGUGAAAUGUAGACGCUCAACGUCUGACUUGCAGCGCAUACUGGUUUCCUUGAGUACGCACAACGUUGGCGGAAUUCGUCGUGUAGCGGUGAAAUGCUUAGAUAUGACGAAGAACUCCGAUUGCGAAGGCAGCUGACGGGAGCGCAACUGACGCUUAAGCUCGAAGGUGCGGGUAUCGAACAGGAUUAGAUACCCUGGUAGUCCGCACAGUAAACGAUGGAUGCCCGCUGUUGGUACCUGGUAUCAGCGGCUAAGCGAAAGCAUUAAGCAUCCCACCUGGGGAGUACGCCGGCAACGGUGAAACUCAAAGGAAUUGACGGGGGCCCGCACAAGCGGAG